GGACAGAGUGGCUGGUAGGGGGGGCUGGCGUGGGGUAGGGGGGAAGACACCACCUAAUGCCUCACCUAGUGCUCCUACCCAUCAUUUUUUAGGGAUCUUGUAUGAUCAUUUGUCCUAUAUCCCACUUGGAUAUGUCCUAUAUACAGAAUCUUGUAUAAUAUCUAUCUUAUAUACAUGUAUCUUAUAUCAUAUCAGUAUCAUGGACAGAGUCCAAUCUUAACUCUGCCAGUAAUAAAUAAAAGUAAAAUCUUUGUGCUAAGUA